rnacentral:lncRNA from 1 species
UCUUUUCGCGAUCCAUUUCGUCCUAAAUAAAUCCAAAGAGUUGAAUGGGUAACUAACGUAACUAAAGUAUAAUCAUGCCAGAUGGUAUUGCAUUAGACAGUAACACCUUAGCUAAAUUUAGCAUAUCAGGUGUGGGAAUUGUUACGUUCAAUACAUAUAUAUAUAUAGUGGAGGGCGAAAAUUAAUAAACCCUUGUAACUGUUUUCAGUGGUUUGCGGGUGAGCCGUUUCAAGACAAAAUGUCUGCCCUUUCCUAGAAUAUGCUCACACCCUAAGUAUUUGUAAUUUCUUGUUGAGUAACUAACGGUUAAUCAAUUAACCUUGGUUACAGCUCGACUAACUGCCCUUGUAAAUACGGAAAACUGUCUGAAACACCUAUUAUGGUCUUUAUUCAACCACUGCAGACAUGCAUCUAAGAUUGUUCAACAAAUCGGAAGUCUUGACUUCCAGGCCUUAAAUUGUUUGCCUCACUAAAAGUAGAUCGAGCUACACAACUGCUUUGUCGUCUUGAUACACAAUUUCACCUGUAAC